GGCAGCGGUACCGGCUCGGCAUCGGCGGCGGCGGAGCUGCGGGUCGGAGGACGGCGGUGCAGCGCUGGAGCGCCAUUGCGGGGCUGGCGGUGACUUCGCUGAAACUCUGGUAGAUAAAAAUGCUGUAGAGGGGUGAGGCAGCAUCUAUGGAGCGAAGGAAUAGGUGACAUUCCCGGUCGAGACCCAUCUUCAGACCCUUCUUCUUCUAUCUUUAAGGACAUGUUGUGCACCGACAGGAACAUCUACAAAAGGACCCAUAGCUGGGAGCGUCAACAAAUAACGUUGCCAGCAUCUGACGGUUGCCAGGACCACAGUGACCACCCUGCUGACCCAGGGGAAUGUCAGGAAUUUCAGAGCUUGGCGACAUAAAUUAUCAACUGAAACUUUGUGGAAUUAAUGUAGUCAAAAGUCAA